rnacentral:rRNA from 1 species
UACGUAGGGUGCAAGCGUUGUCCGGAAUUAUUGGGCGUAAAGAGCUCGUAGGCGGUCUGUCGCGUCUGCUGUGAAAACUCGGGGCUUAACCCCGGGCCUGCAGUGGGUACGGGCAGACUAGAGUGCGGUAGGGGAGACUGGAAUUCCUGGUGUAGCGGUGAAGUGCGCAGAUAUCAGGAGGAACACCGGUGCGAAGGCGGGUCUCUGGGCCGUAACUGACGCUGAGGAGCGAAAGCAUGGUGAGCGAACAGG